AGAGAGAGACAUGCGCGCAUAUUAAUAAGCGGAGGAAAAGAAACUAACAAGGAUUCCCUCAGUAACGGCGAGUGAAGCGGGAAGAGCUCAAAUUUGAAAUCUUCAAGGUUUUACCUUGACGAAUUGUAGUUUAAAGAAGUGUUUUCUGCUGAAGUUUUGGUAAAAGUUCUUUGGAAUAGGACAUCAUAGAGGGUGAGAAUCCCGUAUUUGACCAUUAUUUUCAGCUUUGUGAUACACUUUCAAAGAGUCCGGAUUGUUUGGGAAUGCAGUCCAAAAUGGGUGGUAAAUUUCAUCUAAAGCUAAAUAUUGGCGAGAGACCGAUAGCGAACAAGUACCGUGAGGGAAAGAUGAAAAGAACUUUGAAAAGAGAGUUAAACAGUACGUGAAAUUGUCAAAAGGGAAGCGUUUGACACCAGUGUUGUUUUCUCGAAAAUCAAUUAAGAAUGGCUCGAUUUUGUAUUGUUGAGACCUUAAAAGCUCACUGUACAUUUUUCGUGUCUUUUUUAAUGCACUUUUCGUUUAACAAGUCCAACAUCAGUUUCUUUUGUUGUAAAAGGGUCAUUGGAUAGGUGGCUUUCUUUUCGGAGAAAGUGUUUAUAGCCUUUGGCCUCUGCAAUCGAAGAGACUGAGGUCUGCAGCGUAGACUCUUCGGGGUUAGAUACAUUUGUGCUAAGUUAUAGCUUUUUAUAGACAACUUGUUGACUAUAAUUAGUCUUGUAGCUUACUCGCUUAUGCUAUUUUACCUACGCUUAGGAUGUUGAAGAUGUAGCACAUCAU
rnacentral:rRNA from 1 species